rnacentral:rRNA from 1 species
AUUGAACGCUGGCGGCAUGCCUUACACAUGCAAGUCGAACGGCAGCACGGGGGCAACCCUGGUGGCGAGUGGCGAACGGGUGAGUAAUACAUCGGAACGUGCCCUGUAGUGGGGGAUAGCUCGGCGAAAGCCGGAUUAAUACCGCAUACGACCUACGGGUGAAAGCGGGGAUCGCAAGACCUCGCGCUACAGGAGCGGCCGAUGUCAGAUUAGGUUGUUGGUGGGGUAAAGGCCACCAAGCCGACGAUCUGUAGCUGGUCUGAGAGGACGACCAGCCACACUGGGACUGAGACACGGCCCAGACUCCUACGGGAGGCAGCAGUGGGGAAUUUUGGACAAUGGGCGCAAGCCUGAUCCAGCCAUGCCGCGUGCGGGAAG